rnacentral:rRNA from 1 species
GAUGAACGCUGGCGGCGUGCUUAACACAUGCAAGUCGAACGAAGCACUUUAUUUGAUUUCCUUCGGGACUGAUUAUUUUGUGACUGAGUGGCGGACGGGUGAGUAACGCGUGGGUAACCUGCCUUGUACAGGGGGAUAACAGUUGGAAACGGCUGCUAAUACCGCAUAAGCGCACAGCAUCGCAUGAUGCAGUGUGAAAAACUCCGGUGGUAUAAGAUGGACCCGCGUUGGAUUAGCUAGUUGGUGAGGUAACGGCCCACCAAGGCGACGAUCCAUAGCCGACCUGAGAGGGUGACCGGCCACAUUGGGACUGAGACACGGCCCAAACUCCUACGGGAGGCAGCAGUGGGGAAUAUUGCACAAUGGGCGAAGGCCUGAUGCAGCGACGCCGCGUGAGCGAAGAAGUAUUUCGGUAUGUAAAGCUCUAUCAGCAGGGAAGAUAAUGACGGUACCUGACUAAGAAGCACCGGCUAAAUACGUG